ACUUGUCGAAGCGGUUGAAUCGUAAUAUGGAAUAAUAUAUACACAACGAAUAAUACCAGUUUCCAGAUAGAGUAAACGGUGGCUGGUUCACUUUACAGCCCCACAAAUAAUGCGUGAGGCAUCACGUUGAAGGUGUUCGACUUGAUUCGCUAGGUGAUCAUUGCAACUGUCUCAAAUACUGUCGCCGUAGUCGGUAGUAUAUAAGAAUUGUAAAUUAUUAAAAGUGAUUUUCUAUUUAACCUGUACUUUAGGGAUCUUAAACAAUUGAUUAAUUUUGAUGCUUUAUUACAAAUAUUUUUAUGUGGAUAUCCCAUUUCAGUUUGUGUUGGAAGAUAAAUGUUUGUGGUUUGCACAUCAUUUAUUUUAACACUGUUCAAAAAAAGUGGUGACGUGUUAUUGUAUGAUUUGAUAGGCCUUAGUACUGAUUCUGUUUUUAUGGGAUUGAAGGAAACCAGCCAUGUUUUGGAACAGGUUUUGAUUUUAUCGAAAUCCGAAUUCAUUAUUCUCUCAUUUUCUGACGAAUUUGUCAUCAUUAAGCAGAGAGACGUAUCAUCAGCAAGCAGUUUAAUAUUUGAUUGAACAUUUUCAGUGAUGUCAUUAAUGCAGAUAAACAACAGAAGCGGUCCAAGAACGGAGCCCUGUGAAACAUCAUUUAUAUAAAGCGGCCAUUUUGGACUCCGGAAGCACCCGAACCUCGAUAAACUACUAGAAGGUUUUAUUUGUACCGUGCGGUAAGGACGACCAGCCCUCGAUAAACUACUAGAAGGUUUUAUUACUCAACAAAUACCUUCUCGAAGCAUGUAAUAAAAUCUAAUCGGGUGGAACAACACACUUUGGUCGACCAGUUAUUAUAACUCUUAAACCAACUGUACAAUUCAUCUCUGACCCCGAAAAAAAUUGAACUUCAGGCAGAGUCUGGAAUGCGAAACCAUAUAGAAUGCUUUGCUGAUGUCACAGAAUGCUGUUCUUGUACAAUAGCCCUUAUCGAUUGCAUAACAAUAAAAAUCAAUUUAGUAUAGAAGUCGAUAGAUAGAUUCCGAUUGAAAAAUAGUUCCACUUCCAUGCGACGGCGAUAACUUGCUGUGGUGGUUAUAGGGCUCUCGAAUACAAUAUUGAAAUAUUUUGUUUUUAAAACCUUCACCGACAAACAUGAUAACAACCAAGAUCUGAAUAUUACCAAAACAAAAAACGUAAUUUCUCACUGGGCCACCAUGGCUCCUAUUACAACCUAGUAUAGUAUAAAUCAAUCAAUGACAGCUGAUAAUCAAUUAUUAUUUAUUUAUCGUAGUGAGUUUUUCAUCAAUGGCAUCAACCAGUUACUAUAUAAACACAGGUUACUAUAUCGAUUACGGAAUAAACAGGAGUGUUUCCAUUAGGUUUUCCAGUGCAUUCAUCCAAAUAUAUACAUUAUUUCUGACGAGCUCCCCAGAUGAGUUCAAAAUGUUAAAAUGUUAUAAAACUAGUGUUGAAAUCAGUUUA